UACAGAGGGGGCAAGCAUUGUUCGGAAUUACUGGGCGUAAAGGGCGCGUAGGCGGCCUGCUAAGUCGAACGUGAAAUCCCCGAGCUCAACUCGGGAACUGCGUCCGAUACUGGCAGGCUUGAAUCCGGGAGAGGGAUGCGGAAUUCCAGGUGUAGCGGUGAAAUGCGUAGAUAUCUGGAGGAACACCGGUGGCGAAGGCGGCAUCCUGGACCAAUAUUGACGCUGAGGAGCGAAAGCCAGGGGAGCAAACGGG
rnacentral:rRNA from 1 species